rnacentral:rRNA from 1 species
GAUGAACGCUGGCGGCGUGCUUAACACAUGCAAGUCGAACGGAAAGGCCGAAGCUUGCUUCGGUACUCGAGUGGCGAACGGGUGAGUAACACGUGGGUGAUCUGCCCUGUACUUCGGGAUAAGCUUGGGAAACUGGGUCUAAUACCGGAUAUGACGAUCUCUUGGAUGGGGUUGUGGAAAGCUUUUGCGGUAUGGGAUGAGCUCGCGGCCUAUCAGCUUGUUGGUGGGGCAAUGGCCUACCAAGGCGUCGACGGGUAGCCGGCCUGAGAGGGUGUACGGCCACAUUGGGACUGAGAUACGGCCCAGACUCCUACGGGAGGCAGCAGUGGGGAAUAUUGCACAAUGGGCGCAAGCCUGAUGCAGCGACGCCGCGUGGGGGAUGACGGCCUUCGGGUUGUAAACUCCUUUCGCAAUCGACGAAGCCUUUUGGUGACGGUAGGUUGAGAAGAAGCACCGGCUAACUACGUG